rnacentral:lncRNA from 1 species
CAGGUCUUUCAAUAGUACCAGAGAAUCUGAAACAGAAAAUGAACAGCAUGAUCAAAUUUUAAACUCUGCCUGCUUGGAAGCUUUAGUAGUUUGGCAGUAGAGAAUGGCAUCAAGGCAACCCUACAGAAGAAUUAUGUAGGCCACAUUAGAAGACCUCAGGAAAGAAGACCGUCUGUCUGUGGAGAAAAAAUCCAGAAUCAGCUGACUUCAUUGAAGACGAAAGUUAUCUGCAGUAUUCCAGUUUACACUACUUGUGCAAAUGAGAAAUUUUCUUGUAUCAUUGAUCUGGAAAGUCUGUUUUUAAUCCUGAUCUGGGGUGAAAUGGCAGUAAUCCUG